CCUACGGGAGGCAGCAGUCGAGAAUCAUUCACAAUGGGGGAAACCCUGAAGGUGCGACGCCGCGUGGGGGAAUGAAGGUCUUCGGAUUGUAAACCCCUGUCAUGUGGGAGCAAAUUAAAAAGAUAGUACCACAAGAGGAAGAGACGGCUAACUCUGUGCCAGCAGCCGCGGUAAUACAGAGGUCUCAAGCGUUGUUCGGAAUCACUGGGCGUAAAGAGUGCGUAGGCUGUUUCGUAAGUCGUGUGUGAAAGGCGCGGGCUCAACCCGCGGACGGCACAUGAUACUGCGAGACUAGAGUAAUGGAGGGGGAACCGGAAUUCUCGGUGUAGCAGUGAAAUGCGUAGAUAUCGAGAGGAACACUCGUGGCGAAGGCGGGUUCCUGGACAUUAACUGACGCUGAGGCACGAAGGCCAGGGGAGCGAAAGGGAUUAGAUACCCGAGUAGUC
rnacentral:rRNA from 1 species